AAAGAUUUAGUUUUAAACUAAAACAUUAAUUUGUCAAAUUAAAAAUACUUAACUAAAGUAAUCUUUA
rnacentral:tRNA from 1 species